GGAGAGGUGCCGGAGCGGUCGAACGGGCUCGCCUGGAAAGCGAGUGUGCCCCUUACGGGGUACCGAGGGUUCGAAUCCCUC
rnacentral:tRNA from 1 species